AUUAAAAUAGUUUAAAUAAAACAUAACAUUGAAGAUGUUAAAAUGAAUUUUCUUUUAAUA
rnacentral:tRNA from 1 species